AAAAAAGUCUAAUCUAGCCUGUUUAAAAGGAUUUCUCUUCCUCCAAGUGUAUCGCUGUACAUCUGGAAAAAGUUCUCUAUACGGGUCUAUCAAAUUUCUUUCUUCAAUAAAUUCCAAUACUUUUUCCCUAGCUUUCUGAUUGUUAAUAUUCACAUAGUUGCUAUAAUCUAUACAUGGGUUUUGGACAAGAUUGAAAUCACCACAAAUAACAAAGUAUUCAUUUUCAAAAUCAUCAAUAACAG
rnacentral:lncRNA from 1 species